UACGUAGGGGGCAAGCGUUGUCCGGAAUCAUUGGGCGUAAAGAGCGUGUAGGUGGCUCGGUAAGUCCGCUGUAAAAGUCCAGGGCUCAACCCUGGAAAGCCGGUGGAAACUGUCGGGCUAGAGUCCGGAAGAGGCGAGUGGAAUUCCUGGUGUAGCGGUGAAAUGCGCAGAUAUCAGGAGGAACACCAAUGGCGAAGGCAGCUCGCUGGGACGGUACUGACGCUGAGACGCGAAAGCGUGGGGAGCAAACAGG
rnacentral:rRNA from 1 species